ACUAGUGACAGAAGGAGGGGGGAGUAGUGACAGAGUGAGGGAGGUGGUGACUAGUGACAGUCACCACCUCCCUCACUCUGUCACUAGUCACCCCUUCCUU
rnacentral:miRNA from 1 species